CAGAAUUUUGAAAUGCCCUCUGUCCUCUCUCCUCUGACUAAGCACACAGCAGUCUCUUACUCUCUUUCUUCCAUUCUUGAUUCUUCCAUCCUCUUGAAACGCUCUCUCUCUCGAUCGAAAGACCUCCUACAGUCCUAUCGAUUCCGCUCUCUCCAAAUUCAUCUCCUCAGUGGCUCAGUCCUUCCUAGUUCCUCCUCAUUUCAUCGACUUUGAUUUUCUUGAUUUCUGACCCGAUCGAUUUCAUCAGGAUAUAUGACAUCUAAAAAAAUUACCAGUGGCAAUUUGUGCUGAAUUCUAUGGACAUGUAUGAAUUUUUAUUUGAAUUAUGUAUUUUAAGAUGUUUGGAUAUUUGUAUUAUUUAUUUUACUUUUUUUUGAAUUAUGUAUUUUAAUGUAUUAUUUAUUUUACUUUUAUUUGAAUUAUGUAUUUUAAGAUGUUUGGAUAUUUGUAUUGUUUAAAAUAUUUUACUAGCGAUUUUACGAUUUUUAGUUAAAAA